GCAACUAUUUGUCAAAAUUGGAAGACUAUAAACGUCUGACUUGCAAAUAUUUUUGGCUAUAUGUAUUGUGAAGUUACAGUUGCCUUUCAUAUUUUGUUCAAAGAAAUUUGUCUGUGAACACAAGGGAGAAAUUAUAACUGUAUAAAAUAAUAAAUAAAUGUGUCAUAUUGAUAAUUACCUAGCAUUGAUGCAUGACAUGAGGGUAAAAGUGCCAAAGUUUAUCUUGCCUAAUUAGUGCAGUCUCAAAAGCCCUGCCAAAUAAAAACAAGUGUUUACCAGUAAUAAUGAACAACACAUCUACUUACAAUUUGAUGAGAAUUGCUAAGGAUUUUUAGUGGUAUUUCAAAUACUCAACUUCAUGUCAAAUGUGUGUAUGUUAACUUGUAUGUCUAUGAGAGUAGCAAUGGAGACAUCAAAAAUAGGGGAUUUUUAGGGGGAUAAUUGGAUGUUCACAAUUCCAUGUAAAGUAAUUUAUUCCUUGUUCAGACAACUUGUAGAUGCUCUGUUGUUGACUGUCCAUUAUAAAAAUAUCUUUUUUUAAUGAUUUUCAAAGAGAAACUUCGUGUCAAAUGCAUAUGAAGUUCAUUAGAAUUAAAUGUCUUUUUUUAAGCAAAUGUACUGGUAUAGUGAAUGUGCAGGUUUACUCUAAAAUAUCUGUUUUCAGCUCGGACUUAAUUUAUUAACAUACAAUUACUAAAAAAAAAAAUUUGUAUUGUUAAAUUUUUUUGAUGAUCUCAAUUUCUUUUUUAUAAUUAAGAUAUAUGCUUUAAAUGUGUUUUGUAAUAAAUUGAAUGGUUUUGCACUUUUUAAUCUUGAAGUAUAUUAAAAGACAAGUGUGCAAAAACAGAAUAAAAAGCAUGCUGUGAACUUUGAUUAUUCCAUCAGUUGUACCAUGCAUCUCAAGAAACAAAGUCUUUCAUUACAUUCUGUCAUCACAUUCUUUGAUAUUUGCAUGUUAUGCAAUGGAAAAGGAGCAUUGAGAUAAUGUGAAUCAAAUUCAUUACUGCCUGAUGGUAACAUUUCCUUAAUGAAUUUGCAUUUAAUGAAUUUGUAGUGAAUUUUUCAUUUUUACACAAAAACAAGAUCUUUUUUAUUUAUACUUAGGGAUAAUUAAUUUUUUUGAAGUGCUUUUAUGAAUGCACUGGCAUCAAAGAUGUCUAUUUAUUGUACGACAACAAGAAGUACUAGUAGUAUAAUGUGACCUUUGACCUAGGUUAUAGUACAUAGGGUAGCUGUUGUUUACUUGUGUAUAUCAUGACAUUUUUUUGUACAGAGGAGAAUUUUUGUACAUAUGUUUUACCAAAGUCUAUCAAAUGUUAUAUGUUCAUGAACACUCUCUUUCAUCUCAUUUGUUUGAUCAUUAUAUAUUAAAAGUAUGAGAGGCAAUAUUUUUUGGUGCAAAUGCUGUGGGAAAACAAAAUGAGAGAGAAAGCAAUGAAAUAUUGUAGGUUGUUGACAGUAUUAUGACAAUGUACAGACUUCUAACAGAGUUGUUAUCUUUUUGUUUGAGGAGAUCGCGCUAACUUCCACGUGACUGUGAUUAUUACUUAAAAAAUCAGAGGUACAUGUACACAUUUCCUCUGAGGUAUGGAAGUGAAACUGAUCUGUAUGGGUCACAUGACCCCAUUGUUGGUCACCUGACCUCGUGAAUGUCUCGGCUUAAGGCAGUGUCUUGUAAAUAGGUACAUUUAUUCUCUCAACUACUUUGUGAGAAAGUCAAUAUUAUAUAUGUAUUUAAUGAUGAUAAAAAGUCAUAAUUUAUUUUCUGUUCUUAGUUGUGUAUUUUGAACAUAUGAUGACUCGGUAGAUUCUACUAGCUCAUGGAGAAAUAAAUGAAUGAAGAUAA
rnacentral:sRNA from 1 species